AUCUAACAAGCUUUCAUUUAAAUCUGUCAGGUUCUAUUACAGUCAAGGUACCUGCAUCUCUCAAAGCCUACUUAGAGUUGUCUGGAAGAAAAGUGGAUGUGAGCUCAGAGAUCGAGUUAAAAGAAACACGGAGUGCCUCCAAAGAUGAUCACGUAAUUUUAAGUGGUCACAUGAAUCAAAGGAAUGAAAAAGACAAAUGGAUUAAAGCUGACACACAAAGUGGCAAAGUGUAUCUUAAAAGCCAAAGCUGGAUUCAGUCUGUCAAACUGAAGAUUUCUUAAAGGCGAAACAGUCAAAACAAUCCAGUCAAGAAACUGUAAAGGAAUAUUUUCUCUGGAAUUAUGAAACUUUGUUGAUACAUAUUCUUAAUGUAAGAGAGAAACGAUAUUAAAAAUGAGGACUUUUUAACCCAAGAUUUGCUGGUGACAGUGGCUGGUGAUUAAUGGGUCUGGUUUACUUUUUGUGCCUUUUAGGAACUACAAGGCCUUACAUAUGCAGAAUUUGUAUGACCUGACCCACUCACCAAAUCAGUCUUAAAAGCUGGUAACUUUCAAACAAAAUAAGAAAAUUAGAAAUAAAACCAACACUUUCACCUCCUGGUCUUUGGAAACAUGAAAAUUUACUUCCAAGGAGCUGUGCUCUGCCACCUAUUUUGUAUUUUUUAGCAAAAUAUCUUUCUACUGUGCGACUUUCUUGUUUAUGCAAAACAUAGAAUUCUUUCUUCAGUCAGAUUAUGUGUAUUGUGGACAGGAUAAAACCACUUUCAAACUGUAAUUCAUCACCGGUUUAUCUGUUUUUUCUUUAACCCCUCUGAGCUGUUUCUGCUUUGUCAGCAGGCACUGUAUGUGUAAAACUGCUUCUACGAAACAGAAGCAUGUUCCAUGUUGUCCUGAACCACUUCCUUGUGGACUGAUUCAGCAACUCGAUGUAUGCUGCAGUUUUUUCUACAAAGAAAAGCUUUUAAUAUAAAUAAUCCAAAGUGCAACAGGUAUGGCUGAUUUCAAGAAAGAAACACUCCACCAAUCAGGAUGUUGGAUAGGAGUCCAUAUGAAUGUUCCCCAAAGUAAAAGCUACUGAGCUAAUAAAUGAGAACUGUAAUCUCCUUACUACAUUUCCAUUUAUCAUCAGCCUUGCAUGACAGGACUGUCAGCUCAUGGAGGCAGAAUGACAGAGGAGGAAGGAAGGCGAGGGAAGUUUAUGCACCCUGCACAAGAGACAGUGAUUUUUGUGGAGGAUUUUGUUUAGUGGAGGCACACUAAACUAAAAAGAGCUUUUAAAAGCCUUUCUGUUUAUAUAUGGCCCCUUAUAACAGAAGUACUGAAGUUUGUGUUUUACAGCUGAAAUGCAGGACUACCUGCCAACUGAGUGAUGGAGAGAAGAAAUGAAGAGUUCGGAAUGUCAGUUCAGGUUUUAAAUUAUGUAUAUGUGUUUGUAGACCAUAACAUUAUAAAAUGAGGUUCCCCAAGGCUAUUAGUUGCCCAUCGCUAAUGUUCUGCAGCAAUCAAGGGCAGUUUUUUACUUUGAGAGUGGUUAAAAAUUCCACAUUGUUUCCCAUUGUGUGUUCAGUUUGUUCUGUUGUCUAUGGCAAAUUAUAUGUAUAUAUAUAUUUAAUACACUAGUAUAUAAAACAGUAAUGUCACUACUAAAAGGAAUAUAAUAUUACUAAAUAUUAUUAUACUGUUAAAAGAUAUACAGUUGUAAUGGUUUCCUCAAAAGUUUUGAAACUAAUAGUUUCUGAGCUGCAGACACAAAGUGAAAGAAGAAAGAAGUACUCCUAAAUUGUUGUAUCUGCAAAUAAAAUAUGUAGUAGAUAUUUCACAGA